GAUGAACGCUGACAGAAUGCCUAACACAUGCAAGUCAACCUGAACUUCGGUUUGGGUGGCGGCCGGGUGAGUAACGCGUAAAGAACUUGCCUCACAGCUAGGGACAACAUUUGGAAACGAAUGCUAAUACCUGAUAUUAUGAUUAUAUGGCAUCGUAUAAUUAUGAAAGCUAUAUGCGCUGUGAGAGAGCUUUGCGUCCCAUUAGCUAGUUGGAGAGGUAACAGCUCACCAAGGCGAUGAUGGGUAGCCGGCCUGGGAGGGUGAUCGGCCACAAGGGGACUGGGACACGGCCCUUACGCCUACGGGAGGCAGCAGUGGGGAAUAUUGGACAAUGGACCGAGAGUCUGAUCCAGCAAUUCUGUGUGCACGAUGAAGUUUUUCGGAAUGUAAAGUGCUUUCAGUUGGGAAGAAAAAAAUGACGGUACCAACAGAAGAAGUGACGGCUAAAUACGUG
rnacentral:rRNA from 1 species